GAGUUUGAUCAUGGCUCAGGAUGAACGCUAGCGGCAGGCUUAACACAUGCAAGUCGAGGGGUAUAGUUCUUCGGAAUUAGAGACCGGCGCACGGGUGCGUAACGCGUAUGCAAUCUACCUUUCACAGAGGGAUAGCCCAGAGAAAUUUGGAUUAAUACCUCAUAGUAUAGCGACUCCGCAUGGAGAUGUUAUUAAAGUCACAACGGUGAAAGAUGAGCAUGCGUCCCAUUAGCUAGUUGGUAAGGUAACGGCUUACCAAGGCUACGAUGGGUAGGGGUCCUGAGAGGGAGAUCCCCCACACUGGUACUGAGACACGGACCAGACUCCUACGGGAGGCAGCAGUGAGGAAUAUUGGACAAUGGGCGCAAGCCUGAUCCAGCCAUGCCGCGUGCAGGAUGACGGCCCUAUGGAUUGUAAACUGCUUUUGCACAGGAAGAAA
rnacentral:rRNA from 1 species